CAUGCUUCCCUUACACACAGAGAAACACACAAUGCAUCCAUUACACACAAAGACAAUGCAUCCUUUGCACACAUACACAGAAACAGACAAUGCAAACCCGUACACACGCAUGCAAACACACACACUUCUUUUCUUACAUACACACAGAAACACAAUGCAUCUCAUGCACACACAUACAGACACACACCUUGCAUCCCUUAUGCAUACAAACACAGAUU